GUGUUAGCUCUCUCUCUCUCUCUCUCUCUCUCUCUAUAUAUAUAUAUAUAUAUAUAUAUAUAUAUAUAUAGAGAGAGAGAGAGAGAGAGAGAGAGAGAGGUUCUCUAG
rnacentral:miRNA from 1 species